rnacentral:rRNA from 1 species
UACGAAGGGGGCUAGCGUUGUUCGGAUUUACUGGGCGUAAAGCGCACGUAGGCGGAUCGAUCAGUCAGGGGUGAAAUCCCAGAGCUCAACUCUGGAACUGCCUUUGAUACUGCUAGUCUAGAGAUCGAGAGAGGUGAGUGGAAUUCCGAGUGUAGAGGUGAAAUUCGUAGAUAUUCGGAGGAACACCAGUGGCGAAGGCGGCUCACUGGCUCGAUACUGACGCUGAGGUGCGAAAGCGUGGGGAGCAAACAGG